rnacentral:rRNA from 1 species
UGGGGAAUCUUGGACAAUGGGCGCAAGCCUGAUCCAGCCAUGCCGCGUGAGUGAAGAAGGUCUUCGGAUUGUAAAGCUCUUUUACCAGGGAUGAUAAUGACAGUACCUGAAGAAUAAGCCCCGGCAAACUUCGUGCCAGCAGCCGCGGUGAUACGAAGGGGGCUAGCGUUGUUCGGAAUUACUGGGCGUAAAGCGCACGUAGGCGGAUAUUUAAGUCAGGGGUGAAAUCCCAGAGCUCAACUCUGGAAC